rnacentral:sRNA from 1 species
AGCAAAUUUGUCAGGAGAGAAGCAUGGCUUCUUGAGACAAACCCAGGCUGCUAAGAAUGUAAGCUCUGGUCUCACUUUGCGUUCCAGCCACACGCCUAAGUGCUCCUUCCUAUGACCAAAGAAUUCCUCACUGAUUAAAAUCUGGUUACAAAACAAGGGACCUAGAGAUGUUCACUUCGCUACUUCUCUGCAGAUGCCUCCUGCUGCUUCCAGCUUUUCUCCUUUAAAGCAGGGUGAAUCCAAAUCAUGGUCUCAGCCCUGAAGGAGGCACCAAAGCAGUUUCACUGCCCUGUGAAAAGCUUCUAGAGGAGCUCAUCUGAAUGCUU